rnacentral:rRNA from 1 species
CCCUGCCAUUUGUACACACCGCCCGUCGCUCCUACCGAUUGAAUGGUCCGGUGAAAUAUAGGGAUGGCAGGCGCUCGCUCGCGGCUCCGGCUGCGGGUAUGCUUGUCAGAACUAUAUUGAACCUUAUCAUUUAGAGGAAGGAGAAGUCGUAAC